GGGCCGUUAGCUCAGUUGGUAGAGCAGCUGACUCUUAAUCAGUAGGUCGCUGGUUCGACCCCAGCACGGCCCACCA
rnacentral:tRNA from 1 species